rnacentral:rRNA from 1 species
UACGAAGGGGGCUAGCGUUGCUCGGAAUUACUGGGCGUAAAGCGCACGUAGGCGGCUUCUAAGUCGGGGUGAAUCCUGGAGCUCAACUCCAGAACUGCCUUCGAUACUGGAAGCUCGAGUCCGGGAGAGGUGAGUGGAACUGCGAGUGUAGAGGUGAAAUUCGUAGAUAUUCGCAAGAACACCAGUGGCGAAGGCGGCUCACUGGCCCGGUACUGACGCUGAGGUGCGAAAGCGUGGGGAGCA